GGGAAGGACUUUAGUUAAGUGGUAGAGCAUCUGCUUUGCAUGCAGAAGGUCCCAGGUUUGAGCUCUGACCUCCUCA